rnacentral:rRNA from 1 species
CCUACGGGAGGCAGCAGUGAGGAAGAUUGGUCAAUGUGCGAGAGCCUGAACCAGCCAAGUCGCGUGAAGGAUGAAGGAUCUAUGGUUUGUAAACUUCUUUGAUAUGGGAAUAAAGUGAGGAACGUGUUGAUUUUUGUAUGUACCAGAUGAAGAAGCAUCGGCUAACUCCGUGGCAGCAGCCGGGGUAAUACGGAGGAUGCGAGCGUUAUCCGGAUUGAGUGGGGUUAAAGGGUGCGCAGGUGGUUAAUUAAGUCAGCGGUGAAAGUUUGUGGCUCAACCAUAAAAGUGCCGUUGAAACUGGUUGACUUGAGUAUAUUUGAGGUAGGCUGAAUGCGUGGUGUAGCGGUGAAAUGCAUAGAUAUCACGCAGAACUCCGAUUGCGAAGGCAGCUUACUAAACUAUAACUGACACUGAAGCACGACAGCGUGGGGAUCAAACAGGAUUAGAUACCCGGGUAGUC